rnacentral:rRNA from 1 species
UACGUAGGUGGCAAGCGUUGUCCGGAAUUAUUGGGCGUAAAGCGCGCGCAGGCGGUCCUUUAAGUCUGAUGUGAAAGCCCACGGCUCAACCGUGGAGGGUCAUUGGAAACUGGAGGACUUGAGUGCAGAAGAGGAAAGUGGAAUUCCAAGUGUAGCGGUGAAAUGCGUAGAGAUUUGGAGGAACACCAGUGGCGAAGGCGACUUUCUGGUCUGUAACUGACGCUGAGGCGCGAAAAGCGUGGGGGAGCAAACAGG